CGCGGGGUGGAGCAGCCCGGUAGCUCGUCAGGCUCAUAACCUGAAGGUCACAGGUUCAAAUCCUGUCCCCGCUA
rnacentral:tRNA from 1 species